rnacentral:rRNA from 1 species
GUGGGGAAUAUUGCACAAUGGGGGAAACCCUGAUGCAGCAACGCCGCGUGAGUGAUGAAGGUUUUCGGAUCGUAAAGCUCUGUCUUUGGGGAAGAUAAUGACGGUACCCAAGGAGGAAGCCACGGCUAACUACGUGCCAG